rnacentral:rRNA from 1 species
CCUACGAGAGGCAGCAGUGAGGAAUAUUGGUCAAUGGGCGCGAGGCUGAACCAGCCAAGUCGCGUGAGGGAAGAAGGUGCUAAGGAUUGUAAACCUCUUUUGUCGGGGAGCAAAAGACGCCACGCGAGGCGGUCCGAGAGUACUCGAAGAAAAAGCAUCGGCUAACUCCGUGCCAGCAGCCGCGGUAAUACGGAGGAUGCGAGCGUUAUCCGGAUUUAUUGGGUUUAAAGGGUGCGCAGGCGGAAGAUCAAGUCAGCGGUAAAAUUGGGAAGCUCAACCACAUCGAGCCGUUGAAAAUGGUUUUCUUGAGUGAGCGAGAAGUAUGCGGAAUGCGUGGUGUAGCGGUGAAAUGCAUAGAUAUCACGCAGAACUCCGAUUGCGAAGGCAGCAUACCGGCGCUCAACUGACGCUCAUGCACGAAAGUGUGGGUAUCGAACAGGAUUAGAUACCCGGGUAGUC